GUGCUCGCUUUGGCAGCACCUAUCCUAAAAUUGGAACAAUACAGAAAAGAUUAGCAUGGCCCCUGUGCAAGAAUGCCACACAUAAUUUGUGAAGCAUUCCAUCCGUUC